CGGUGUUUAACUGGCGUGAUGCGGGACGUCCUACCGGUGGGCUUAGCCUCGCGAGGGGCGGCCCAACUAAUAUCCCGUCGCGGUGCUCUUUACUGAGUGUCGAGUCGGGCCGGUACGUUUACUUUGAACAAAUUAGAGUGCUUAAAGCAGGCUAUCCUCGCCUGAAUACUGCGUGCAUGGAAUAAUGGAAUAGGACCUCGGUUCUAUUUUGUUGGUUUUCGGAACCCCGAGGUAAUGAUUAAUAGGGACAGAUGGGGGCAUUCGUAUUGCGACGUUAGAGGUGAAAUUCUUGGAUCGUCGCAAGACGGACAGAAGCGAAAGCAUUUGCCAAAAAUGUUUUCAUUAAUCAAGAACGAAAGUUAGAGGUUCGAAGGCGAUCAGAUACCGCCCUAGUUCUAACCAUAAACGAUGCCAGCUAGCGAUCCGCCGAAGUUCCUCCGAUGACUCGGCGGGCAGCUUCCGGGAAACCAAAGCUUUUGGGUUCCGGGGGAAGUAUGGUUGCAAAGCUGAAACUUAAAGGAAUUGACGGAAGGGCACCACCAGGAGUGGAGCCUGCGGCUUAAUUUGACUCAACACGGGAAACCUCACCAGGCCCAGACACCGGAAGGAUUGACAGAUUGAUAGCUCUUUCUUGAUUCGGUGGGUGGUGGUGCAUGGCCGUUCUUAGUUGGUGGAGCGAUUUGUCUGGUUAAUUCCGAUAACGAACGAGACUCUAGCCUGCUAAAUAGGCGUACCUUAUGGUAUCGCGAAGGCCCCCGGCUUCGGCCGGUGGGUUUUUACUACCAACGUACAAACAAAUCUUCUUAGAGGGACAGGCGG
rnacentral:rRNA from 1 species